rnacentral:rRNA from 1 species
CCUACGGGAGGCAGCAGUGAGGAAUAUUGGUCAAUGGACGAGAGUCUGCACCAGCCAAGUAGCGUGAAGGAUGACUGCCCUAUGGGUUGUAAACUUCUUUUAUAUGGGAAUAAAACAGGGUAUGCAUACCCUCUUUUAUGUACCAUAUGAAUAAGGAUCGGCUAACUCCGUGCCAGCAGCCGCGGUAAUACGGAGGAUCCGAGCGUUAUCCGGCUUUAUUGGGUUUAAAGGGAGAGUAGGUGGAUUGUUAAGUCAGUUGUGAAAGUUUGCGGCUCAAACGUAAAAUUGCAGUUGAAACUGGCAGUCUUGAGUACAGUAGAGGUGGGCGGAAUUCGUGGUGUAGCGGUGAAAUGCUUAGAUAUCACGAAGAACUCCGAUUGAGAAGGCAGCUCACUGGACUGCAACUGACACUGAGGCUCGAAAGUGUGGGUAUCAAACAGGAUUAGAUACCCUUGUAGUG